GACGUAGGGGGCAAGCGUUGUCCGGAAUUAUUGGGCGUAAAGAGCGCGUAGGCGGUAUUAUAAGUUAGAUGUAAAAGACUAGGGCUCAACCUUAGGGGAGCAUUUAAUACUGUAAUACUAGAGAGCGGUAGAGGUAUGUGGAAUUUCCGGUGUAGCGGUGGAAUGCGUAGAGAUCGGGAGGAACACCAGUGGCGAAGGCGAGAUACUGGGUCGCGACUGACGCUGAUGCGCGAGAGCGUGGGGAGCGAACAGG
rnacentral:rRNA from 1 species